rnacentral:rRNA from 1 species
CACGGGGGGAGCAAGCGUUGUUCGGAAUCACUGGGCGUAAAGGGCGUGUAGGCGGUCAAGUAAGUGGAAUGUGAAAUGCCCCGGCUCACCCGGGGACCUGCAUCCCAAACUGCUUGGCUUGAGUAUGGGAGAGGAUGAGGGAAUUCCUGGUGUAGCGGUGAAAUGCGUAGAUAUCAGGAGGAACACUGGUGGCGAAGGCGGAUCUCUGGACCAGUUCUGACACUGAUGAGCGAAAGCCAGGGGAGCAAACAGG